UUUAAAAUCUGGCGUGCCUUUGGCCGUCCGAGUUGUAGUCUGGAGAAGUGUUUUCUGUGCCGGACCGUGUACAAGUCCCUUGGAACAGGGCCUCAUAGAGGGUGAGAAUCCCGUCUUUGACACGGACUACCGGUGCUCUGUGAUGCGCUCUCAACGAGUCGAGUUGUUUGGGAAUGCAGCUCAAAAUGGGUGGUAAAUUCCAUCUAAAGCUAAAUAUAGGCGAGAGACCGAUAGCGAACAAGUACCGUGAGGGAAAGAUGAAAAGCACUUUGGAAAGAGAGUUAAACAGUACGUGAAAUUGCUGAAAGGGAAACGCUUGAAGUCAGUCAUGUCUGCCAGGACUCAGCUUUGCAUUUUUUGCUUGGUGCACUUUCUGGUUGAUGGGCCAGCGUCGAUUUUGACCGUUGGAGAAAGGUGGAGGAAAUGUGGCACCUUUCGAGGUGUGUUAUAGUCCUCUGCUGUAUGUGACGGUUGGGAUCGAGGACCGCAGCACGCCUUUAUGGCCGGGGGUCACACCCACGUUACGUGCUUAGGAUGCUGGCUUAAUGGCUUUAAGCGACCCGUCUUGAAACACGGACCAAGGAGUCUAACUUGCCUGCGAGUGUUUGGGUGGAAAACCCAAGCGCGCAAUGAAAGUGAUAGUUGAGACCUCUGUCGUGGAGGGCAUCGACGCCCGGACUUGAUCUACGGAGACGGUUCUGCGGUAGAGCAUGCAUGUUGGGACCCGAAAGAUGGUGAACUAUGCCUGA
rnacentral:rRNA from 1 species